rnacentral:rRNA from 1 species
GUAAGGAAUAUUGGGCAAUGGUGGCAACUCUGACCCAGCCAUGCCGCGUGAAGGAUGACGGCCCUCGUGGUUGUAAACUUCUUUUGUACGGGAAUAACCCUCCGAACGUGUUCGGAGCUGAAGGUACCGUAAGAAUAAGGAUCGACUAACUCCGUGCCAGCAGCCGCGGUAAUACGGAGGAUCCAAGCGUUAUCCGGAUUUACUGGGUUUAAAGGGUGCGUAGGCGGAUUGAUAAGUCAGUGGUGAAAGCCUACAGCUUAACUGUAGAACUGCCAUUGAUACUGCCAGUCUGGAGUAUGGUUGAGGUAGCUGGAAUGUGUCAUGUAGCGGUGAAAUGCUUAGAGAUGACACAGAACACCAACGGCGAAGGCAGGUUACCAACCCAUUACUGACGCUGAGGCACGAAAGCGUGGGGAUCAAACAGGAUUAGAAACCCGUGUAGUCC